CAAUAGCGUAUAUUAAAGUUGUUGCAGUUAAAAAGCUCGUAGUUGGAUUUGUGGUGGUCCCUGUGGUCCAAAAUUGGUACUUUCGGGGACUGCCAUCCUUGGGUGGAUCCUGUGUGGCAUUAGGUUGUCGUGCAGGGGAUGCCCAUCGUUUACUGUGAAAAAAUUAGAGUGUUCAAAGCAGGCUUAUGCCGAUGAAUAGAUUAGCAUGGAAUAAUAAGAUAGGACCUCGGUACUAUUUUGUUGGUUUGCGCACUGAGGUAAUGAUUAACAGGGACAGUUGUGGGUAUUCGUAUUGCAUUGUCAGAGGUGAAAUUCUUGGAUUUCUGCAAGACGAACUAAUGCGAAAGCAUUUACCAAGGAUGUUUNCAUUA
rnacentral:rRNA from 1 species